rnacentral:rRNA from 1 species
AGGAUGAACGCUGGCGGUCUGCUUAACACAUGCAAGUCGAACGGAGUAGCAAUACUUAGUGGCGGACGGGUGAGUAACGCGUGAGAAUCUACCUUCAGGACGGAGACAACAGUUGGAAACGACUGCUAACCCCCGAUGUACCGCAAGGGCAAAUAUUUAUAGCCUGAAGAAGAGCUCGCGUCCGAUUAGCUAGUUGGAGAGGUAAAAGCUCACCAAGGCGACGAUCGGUAGCUGGUCUGAGAGGACGAUCAGCCACACUGGGACUGAGACACGGCCCAGACUCCUACGGGAGGCAGCAGUGGGGAAUAUUGCGCAAUGGGCGGAAGCCUGACGCAGCGACGCCGCGUGAGGGAUGACGGCCUUCGGGUUGUAAACCUCUUCAGCUCUGACGAAGCGAGAGUGACGGUAGGAGCGAGAAGAAGCACCGGCCAACUACGCGCCAGCAGCCGC